rnacentral:rRNA from 1 species
GACGAACGCUGGCGGCGUGCUUAACACAUGCCAGUCGAACGGAAAGGCCUGCUUUCCCUUGUGGAUUGCGGGUACUCGAGUGGCGAACGGGUGAGUAACACGUGAGUGAUCUGCCCCCAACUUGGGUAUAAGCCUGGGAAACUGGGUCUAAUUCCCGAUAGGACUGCAGGGUGGUGCCUGUGGUGGAAAACGAUUUUCUAGUGGUUGGGGAUGAGCUCGCGGCCUAUCAGCUUGUUGGUGGGGUAAUGGCCUACCAAGGCGGCGACGGGUAGCCGGCCUGAGAGGGUGGACGGCGACAUUGGGACUGAGAUACGGCCCAGACGCCUACGGGAGGCAGCAGUGGGGAAUAUUGCACAAUGGGCGGAAGCCAGAUGCAGCGAGGCCGCGUGGGGGAUGACGGCCUUCGGGUUGUAAACUCCUUUCGACCGCGAGGAAGCCACCUGGUUGGAAGGGUGGUGACGGUAGUGGUAGAAGAAGCACCGGCUAACUACGUG